rnacentral:rRNA from 1 species
CUCCCGGCACGGGGAGGUAGUGACGAAAAAUAACGAUACGGGACUCAUCCGAGGCCCCGUGAUCGGAAUGAGCACACUUUAAAUCCUUUAACGAGGAUCAAUUGGAGGGCAAGUCUGGUGCCAGCAGCCGCGGUAAUUCCAGCUCCAAUAGCGUAUAUUAAAGUUGCUGCGGUUAAAAAGCUCGUAGUCGAAAUUGUGUCCUCGGCCGCCGGUUCGUCGCUCGCGACGCCAACUGGCGCGCACCGCUGGACGUCCAGCCGGUACAACGAACUCGCCUACGGGGUGCUCUUAACCGAGUGUCCAGGCGGGGGCCGGCAACGUUACUUUGAACAAAUUAAAGUGCUUAAAGCAGGCUAAAUUGCGCUCGCAUACACGCGCAUGGAAUAAUCGAAUAGGACCUCCGUUCUAUUUUGUUGGGUUUUUGUGGAACGACAGACGGAGGUAAUGAUCAAUGGGUGCGGAUGGGGGCAUUCGUAUUGCGACGUUAGAGGUGAAAUUCUUGGACCGUCGCAAGACGGACUUAAGCGAAAGCAUUUGCCAAAAACGCUUUCAUCGAUCAAGAACGAAAGUUAGAGGUUCGAAGGCGAUCAGAUACCGCCCUAGUUCUAACCAUAAACUAUGCCAGCUAGCGAUCCGCCGAAGUUACUUCUAUGACUCGGCGGGCAGCUUCCGGGAAACCAAAGCUUUCGGGUUCCGGGGGAAGUAUGGUUGCAAAGCUGAAACUUAAAGGAAUUGACGGAAGGGCACCACCAGGAGUGGAGCCUGCGGCUUAAUUUGACUCAACACGGGAAACCUCACCAGGCCCGGACACCGGAAGGAUUGACAGAUUGAGAGCUCUUUCUUGAUUCGGUGGGUGGUGGUGCAUGGCCGU